ACCCGCUGAACUUAAGCAUAUCAAUAAGCGGAGGAAAAGAAACCAACAGGGAUUGCCCUAGUAACGGCGAGUGAAGCGGCAACAGCUCAAAUUUGAAAUCUGGCGCAAGCCCGAGUUGUAAUUUGUAGAGGAUGCUUCUGGGCAGCGGCCGGUCUAAGUUCCUUGGAACAGGACGUCACAGAGGGUGAGAAUCCCGUAUGUGAUCGGUUGGCACCCGCUACGUAGCUCCUUCGACGAGUCGAGUUGUUUGGGAAUGCAGCUCUAAAUGGGAGGUAAAUGCCUUCUAAAGCUAAAUACCGGCCAGAGACCGAUAGCGCACAAGUAGAGUGAUCGAAAGAUGAAAAGCACUUUGGAAAGAGAGUUAAAAAGCACGUGAAAUUGUUGAAAGGGAAGCGCAUGCAACCAGACUUGUCCGCGGUGUUCCGCCGGUCUUCUGACCGGUCUACUCGCCGCGGGCAGGCCAGCAUCAUCUGGGAGCGCCGGAUAAAGGUAGCGGGAAUGUGGCCCCUCGGGGUGUUAUAGCUCGCUACACAAUACGGCGCCUCCCGGGUGAGGUCCGCGCUUCGGCUAGGAUGCUGGCGUAAUGGUUGUAUGCGGCCCGUCUUGAAACACGGACCAAGGAGUCUACCAUCUAUGCGAGUGUUCGGGUGUCAAACCCCUACGCGCAAUGAAAGUGAACGGAGGUGGGAACCGCAAGGUGCACCAUCGACCGAUCCUGAUGUCUUCGGAUGGAUUUGAGUAAGAGCAUAGCUGGUGGGACCCGAAAGAUGGUGAACUAUGCCUGAAUAGAGUGAAGCCAGAGGAAACUCUGGUGGAGGCUCGCAGCGGUUCUGACGUGCAAAUCGAUCGUCAAAUUUGGGUAUAGGGGCGAAAGACUAAUCGAACCAUCUAGUAGCUGGUUCCUGCCGAAGUUUCCCUCAGG
rnacentral:rRNA from 1 species